AGAUUUGAGUGGCAAGAUCAUGAAUCUACAAUCUAGACAUAAGAAAACAGAGAGAAAA
rnacentral:sRNA from 1 species